rnacentral:rRNA from 1 species
AACAGGAUUAGAUACCCUGGUAGUCCACGCCGUAAACGAUGUCGACUUGGAGGUUGUUCCCUUGAGGAGUGGCUUCCGGAGCUAACGCGUUAAGUCGACCGCCUGGGGAGUACGGCCGCAAGGUUAAAACUCAAAUGAAUUGACGGGGGCCCGCACAAGCGGUGGAGCAUGUGGUUUAAUUCGAUGCAACGCGAAGAACCUUACCUACUCUUGACAUCCAGAGAACUUAGCAGAGAUGCUUUGGUGCCUUCGGGAACUCUGAGACAGGUGCUGCAUGGCUGUCGUCAGCUCGUGUUGUGAAAUGUUGGGUUAAGUCCCGCAACGAGCGCAACCCUUAUCCUUUGUUGCCAGCGAUUCGGUCGGGAACUCAAAGGAGACUGCCGGUGAUAAACCGGAGGAAGGUGGGGAUGACGUCAAGUCAUCAUGGCCCUUACGAGUAGGGCUACACACGUGCUACAAUGGCGCAUACAAAGAGAAGCGACCUCGCGAGAGCAAGCGGACCUCACAAAGUGCGUCGUAGUCCGGAUCGGAGUCUGCAACUCGACUCCGUGAAGUCGGAAUCGCUAGUAAUCGUGGAUCAGAAUGCCACGGUGAAUACGUUCCCGGGCCUUGUACACACCGCCCGUCACACCAUGGGAGUGGGUUGCAAAAGAAGUAGGCAGCUUAACCUUCGGGAGGGCGCUUACCACUUUGUGAUUCAUGACUGGGGUGAAGUCGUAACAAGGUAACC